rnacentral:tRNA from 1 species
GACCUCGUGCUGUAACUGGUAGCCAGAGUCGGUUGAGAGCCGGCUGCCGCGAGGCGUGUGGGUUCGACUCCCACCGAGGUCAC